rnacentral:rRNA from 1 species
AGUCAGAGGCGAUGAAGGGCGUGCUAAUCUGCGAUAAGCGCCGGUAAGGUGAUAUGAACCGUUAUAACCGGCGAUACCCGAAUGGGGAAACCCAGUGUGACUCGUCACACUAUCAUUAACUGAAUCCAUAGGUUAAUGAGGCGAACCGGGGGAACUGAAACAUCUAAGUACCCCGAGGAAAAGAAAUCAACCGAGAUUCCCCCAGUAGCGGCGAGCGAACGGGGAGGAGCCCAGAGCCUGAAUCAGCAUGUGUGUUAGUGGAAGCGUCUGGAAAGGCGCGCGAUACAGGGUGACAGCCCCGUACACAAAAGCGCAUGUGCUGUGAGCUCGAUGAGUAGGGCGGGACACGUGGUAUCCUGUCUGAAUAUGGGGGGACCAUCCUCCAAGGCUAAAUACUCCUGACUGACCGAUAGUGAACCAGUACCGUGAGGGAAAGGCGAAAAGAACCCCGGCGAGGGGAGUGAAAAAGAACCUGAAACCGUGUACGUACAAGCAGUGGGAGCACCCUUUGGG